rnacentral:misc_RNA from 1 species
GCCGCGCCCGUAGCCAGCUACGCUCGUAGCGCCGUAGCGCCGUAGCACCGCUACGAACGUGACGUACGUACUAUAUUUAUAAACAAGUGCUGUAUUGUGAAUGUGGAAGUGAGUUUACGGGAGUUUUGUAACUUACAUCACGAUGUCCCUGGUACCACCGGGGGGUGCGGACUCCCCCAGUCCGCGGCGCGCAGUCAGUCCUCUCCUGGAGAUGCGCAGACCUCACUGUACGCUCGCCUGUGACUACUGCGCAGCUAUAUUGGAGGAUAAGUUUAAACGAAGCGCCGAUAUGCGCAACCGGGGCACAUCGCCGCUAUCAGCGUCACCGCGCCAGUCACUGACCGGGGAGCCACCCUGGACCCUGCCGGAUGACGACCGACCCGACUUCUCAGCACUCAAGGAAAAUAUACAGAGGAUUAACAAGGACUGCGAAACGUCAACAAGGCUGGACAUGCUGCUGACGCAAGUGGAACAGUAUGCUAACAACCUGGAGGCGCUGGUGGAGGAGAGGACCUCCGACUAUCUGGAGGAGAAGAGGAAGUGUGAGGAACUGCUGUACCAGCUGUUGCCGAAGUCCGUAGCCUCCCAACUAAUAAUGGGACAGCCUGUCAUGGCGGAGACAUAUGACCAGGUCACCAUCUACUUCAGCGACAUCAUCGGCUUCACGCAGCUGUCAGCCGAAUCCACGCCCCUAGAGGUCGUUGACCUCCUCAAUGAUCUGUACACCAGCUUCGAUUCUAUUAUUGAGAAUUUCGAUGUUUAUAAGGUGGAAACCAUAGGCGACGCGUACAUGGUGGUCUCCGGGCUGCCGAUGCGCAAUGGCAACCGUCACGCCGCGGAGAUCGCGCGCAUGUCUCUCGCGCUACUCAACGCGGUGCGCGUGAAGACUGUCCCUCAUCGGCCUGGAGAGCGCCUGUUGUUGAGGAUUGGUAUGCAUACAGGACCUUGCGUGGCAGGAGUGGUAGGCCUCAAAAUGCCUCGAUACUGUCUUUUCGGAGACACAGUCAACACAGCAUCAAGGAUGGAGUCCCAUGGAGAGGCCCUGAAGAUCCAUGUCAGCCCGAAGACCAAGGAGGUACUGGACCUAUAUGACUGCUUCGAACUGGAGUGCAGAGGAGAAAUCACUAUGAAGGGCAAAGGAAAAAUGACGACAUUCUGGCUGAUAGGUGAAAAGAAGCCAGAAAACCAAGAGUGUUACUAUACACAAACGAAUCACGCGCAAGCCACGUUAGUGAACAACCCGAGCAUCACAUUUCAGGGUCCGGACAGCCCUGCAUCCCAUUCGCUGACACAAAGUCAUAGUCCUGAACAAAAUAUCCCAGAAACAAAAGAAAAUCACAGACCACUCGAAAUUCAAAGCGAGAGAGAUCGCAUCAAACAUGAGAUAGCGACAUUCGUGGCAAAGGACUUGAUAAACAACAUUGAUAUCGCUGUGAGAGAAUUUCGGAAAUCGCAAAGCGCGAAUUUUGCUUCACACGCAAACAAUAAGCCAUUAUGCAAUGGUAAUGGUAAAGGCCUAAUAACACCGACGUAUGAUAAGGAACUCGUUAUCAGCAAAGGUAAGGUCCGUGACGUUGUGAACAGAUUCAACAACUCUGUAAACGAGGGUAAUAAGUGCACGAAAAUGAAAAUUAAAAACGAAGACUGAACUGAGAGGAAUGGAGCGCUUAUUGUCUUUCCCGGCCCGGUCUAAACAGAUUUUAAUACUUUAGAAGUGUUUAUAGAGAUACUAACUUAAAAAAAAACGUUACUAGUAUAUUUUGUGCCAAGCACAUAGAAGAUUUCUUUCAUAGUCUAGUCAUUACUGUUUUAAGAUAUUAUUAUAUUAAUAAUGCAUAGUACAUUCCUAAGAAAUUACAUGUUAAAGGUAGUGGGUGACCAAAUACCCUCCGAAUUCUAGUUAAGUAUAAAAAUAGAUGAUUUUAAAAUGUAUCUCAUAGAUAUUAUAAAUGUCAUAGUUUAAGGCGACAAUCGCAGAAGCGAUUUCAAGAAAGAUGUAGUGAGAAUUAUUAUGUGUGAAUAGUAAAAGGUAACUAUUGUAUAAUACACUUGGACCCUGUAGUGUUUUUACUGACCUUUUAUACUUGCGUAUCUUUCUAGUCCAUUAUAUUGUCGUGAAGUAAGACAUUUGUAUGAUAGAUCACUUUCUAGCACCGCUGUUAUUGGUGGCAUUUCAUCAUUCCUUCAAUGAACAUCUUUUACUAAUGAUAUACAGCUGAAGAGUUGUAGGGUUUGAAUGCGCUUAUCUCGGAAUCCACUGGACCCAUUUGAAAAAUCUGUUCAGUGGAAGUUCGCCCAUUUAUCGAGUCAGGUUUUAAGCUAAUUUUCACCCAGAUGCGCUGAUAAGUUCUCACGGAAUGCGGGUGAAGCUACUAAGUCAAGUAUUUGAUGCUUAUGUUAACUUGCGAAAUACUCACUAUUUCCUCAUUUCACCCACACUUAUAGAUUUAAGUGGUUGUUAGAAUUCUUCUAAUUUUAGAAUUGUUCGUUGCGUCUGUAUGCUGUAAGCAUUUUUAGAUGAUUUUGAUGUUUUAAAUAAAAUAUUUUAUUGUGAUAGCUUUGUGAGAUUCUGAUGUAUGGAUAGUUGGAAAUACUUCGGAUACAAUACAAGCAAUAUAAUAAUAGUUAUU